GGGUUGUGAGGUUAAGCGACUAAGCGUACACGGUGGAUGCCCUGGCAGUCAGAGGCGAUGAAGGACGUGCUAAUCUGCGAUAAGCGCCGGUAAGGUGAUAUGAACCGUUAUAACCGGCGAUUUCCGAAUGGGGAAACCCAGUGUGAUUCGUCACACUAUCAUUAACUGAAUCCAUAGGUUAAUGAGGCGAACCGGGGGAACUGAAACAUCUAAGUACCCCGAGGAAAAGAAAUCAACCGAGAUUCCCCCAGUAGCGGCGAGCGAACGGGGAGGAGCCCAGAGCCUGAAUCAGCAUAUGUGUUAGUGGAAGCGUCUGGAAAGGCGCGCGAUACAGGGUGACAGCCCCGUACACAAAAGCGCAUGUGCUGUGAGCUCGAUGAGUAGGGCGGGACACGUGGUAUCCUGUCUGAAUAUGGGGGGACCAUCCUCCAAGGCUAAAUACUCCUGACUGACCGAUAGUGAACCAGUACCGUGAGGGAAAGGCGAAAAGAACCCC
rnacentral:rRNA from 1 species